AUGGACCCAAAUUACAAGCUCAUGUGGCCUCUAGCACCAGCUCAAGACCACCCUACUUCAAACAGAACAACAGUCACGGCAACCUCUCCGAUCCAGCAGUCUGCAUUUGCCAGCCAGACCGUUCAGAAGCAGUCGAAUGAGCUCAUUCAAAAGAUGCAUCACCAUGAGGCGCACUGUUAAAAGUGCCCCUCAAAGCAUAUGGUAAUAUGGCGCAGACCGCCCAAAAUACUUGGGCCCAUUUUCUGAGCAAACUCCAUCCUACUUAACCGGUGAAUUUCCAUAUGACUAUGGAUGGGACACUGCUGGACUAUCUGCAGACCCCGAGACCUUCGCCAAGAACCGUGAGCUUGAGGUGAUCCACUGCCGAUGGGCCAUGCUUGGUGCAUUAGGCUGUGUCUUCCCAGAAGUCUUGUCCAAGAACGGCAUCAAGUUUGGUGAAGCUGUUUGGUUCAAGGCUGGGUCUCAAAUCUUCUCCGAGGGCGGCCUGGACUACCUAGGCAACCCAAACCUUGUCCAUGCCCAAAGCAUCCUGGCCAUCUGGGCUGUCCAGGUUGUGCUCAUGGGAUUCAUUGAGAGAUACAGAGUUGGUGGAGGACCACUUGGUGAGGGCCUUGACCCACUUUACCCAGGAGGUGCCUUUGAUCCACUUGGACUUGCUGACGAUCCUGAAGCCUUUGCUGAACUGAAGGUGAAGGAAAUCAAGAAUGGGCGGUUGGCAAUGACCUCAAUGUUUGGAUUCUUUGUCCAGGCUAUUGUAACCGGAAAAGGGCCAAUUGAGAACCUCUAUGACCACGUUGCUGAUCCCGUGGCCAACAAUGCAUGGGCAUAUGCCACCAACUUCGUUCCCGCAAAGUGAAGACACCUAAAUUGCUGGCUUUUCAUCU